CUACGGGGGGCUGCAGUGGGGAAUAUUGGACAAUGGGGGAAAUCCUGAUCCAGCAAUGCCGCGUGUGUGAAGAAGGCCUGCGGGUUGUAAAGCACUUUCGGUUGGGAGGACUGCUUCUAGCACUAAUAUUGUUGGAAGUUGACGUUACCUUCAGAAGAAGCACCGGCUAACUCCGUGCCAGCAGCCGCGGUAAUACGGGGGUGCAAGCGUUAAUCGGAAUUACUGGGCGUAAAGCGCGCGUAGGCGGCUAGAUCAGUCGGGUGUGAAAGCCCCGGGCUUAACCUGGGAACUGCAUCCGAUACUGUCUAGCUUGAGUACAGGAGAGGAGAGUGGAAUUCCACAUGUAGCGGUGAAAUGCGUAGAUAUGUGGAGGAACACCAAUGGCGAAGGCAGCUCUCUGGCCUGAUACUGACGCUGAGGUGCGAAAGCGUGGGGAGCAAACAGGAUUAGAUACCCCUGUAGUC
rnacentral:rRNA from 1 species